GACAGAGGGUGCAAACGUUGCUCGGAAUCACUGGGCGUAAAGGGCGUGUAGGCGGACUUGUAAGUCGGGCGUGAAAUCCCUGGGCUCAACCCAGGAACUGCGCUCGAAACUGCGAGUCUUGAGUACCGGAGAGGAAGGUGGAAUUCCUGGUGUAGAGGUGAAAUUCGUAGAUAUCAGGAGGAACACCAGUGGCGAAGGCGGCCUUCUGGACGGUAACUGACGCUGAGACGCGAAAGCGUGGGGAGCAAACAGG
rnacentral:rRNA from 1 species